rnacentral:rRNA from 1 species
UACGUAGGGGGCAAGCGUUGUCCGGAAUCAUUGGGCGUAAAGAGCGCGUAGGCGGCCCAGUAAGUCCGCUCUGAAAGUCAGGGGCUCAACCCCUGGAUGCGGGUGGAUACUGCUGGGCUAGAGUCCGGAAGAGGCGAGUGGAAUUCCUGGUGUAGCGGUGAAAUGCGCAGAUAUCAGGAGGAACACCGAUGGCGAAGGCAGCUCGCUGGGACGGUACUGACGCUGAGGCACGAAAGCGUGGGGAGCAAACAGG